rnacentral:rRNA from 1 species
ACCGCAUGGUUCAAAAGUGAAAGACGGUCUUGCUGUCACUUAUAGAUGGAUCCGCGCUGCAUUAGCUAGUUGGUAAGGUAACGGCUUACCAAGGCAACGAUGCAUAGCCGACCUGAGAGGGUGAUCGGCCACACUGGAACUGAGACACGGUCCAGACUCCUACGGGAGGCAGCAGUAGGGAAUCUUCCGCAAUGGGCGAAAGCCUGACGGAGCAACGCCGCGUGAGUGAUGAAGGUCUUCGGAUCGUAAAACUCUGUUAUUAGGGAAGAACAUAUGUGUAAGUAACUGUGCACAUCUUGACGGUACCUAAUCAGAAAGCCACGGCUAACUACGUGCCAGCAGCCGCGGUAAUACGUAGGUGGCAAGCGUUAUCCGGAAUUAUUGGGCGUAAAGCGCGCGUAGGCGGUUUUUUAAGUCUGAUGUGAAAGCCCACGGCUCAACCGUGGAGGGUCAUUGGAAACUGGAAAACUUGAGUGCAGAAGAGGAAAGUGGAAUUCCAUGUGUAGCGGUGAAAUGCGCAGAGAUAUGGAGGAACACCAGUGGCGAAGGCGACUUUCUGGUCUGUAACUGACGCUGAUGUGCGAAAGCGUGGGGAUCAAACAGGAUUAGAUACCCUGGUAGUCCACGCCGUAAACGAUGAGUGCUAAGUGUUAGGGGGUUUCCGCCCCUUAGUGCUGCAGCUAACGCAUUAAGCACUCCGCCUGGGGAGUACGACCGCAA